CCCAGGGAGGGCUAGAAUAUCUGAGUAAUCAGGUCUGGAACUGACCAUAGUAUUUGCAUUUUUACAAGUUCCCAGGUGAUUCUGAUGCUGCUAGUUCA
ensembl:miRNA Gm44358 predicted gene, 44358